UGGGGAAUAUUGCACAAUGGGCGAAAGCCUGAUGCAGCGACGCCGCGUGAGGGAUGACGGCCUUCGGGUUGUAAACCUCUUUCAGUAGGGACGAAGCGCAAGUGACGGUACCUGCAGAAGAAGCACCGGCUAACUACGUGCCAGCAGCCGCGGUAAUACGUAGGGUGCGAGCGUUGUCCGGAAUUACUGGGCGUAAAGAGCUCGUAGGCGGUUUGUCACGUUGUCUGUGAAAUCCUAGGGCUUAACCCUGGACGUGCAGGCGAUACGGGCUGACUUGAGUACUACAGGGGAGACUGGAAUUUCUGGUGUAGCGGUGGAAUGCACAGAUAUCAGGAAGAACACCGAUGGCGAAGGCAGGUCUCUGGGUAGUAACUGACGCUGAGGAGCGAAAGCAUGGGUAGCGAACAGG
rnacentral:rRNA from 1 species